rnacentral:rRNA from 1 species
UACGUAGGGGGCAAGCGUUGUCCGGAAUCAUUGGGCGUAAAGAGCGUGUAGGCGGCCCGGUAAGUCCGCUGUGAAAGUCCAGGGCUCAACCCUGGGAUGCCGGUGGAUACUGUCGGGCUCGAGUCCGGAAGAGGAGUGUGGAAUUCCUGGUGUAGCGGUGAAAUGCGCAGAUAUCAGGAGGAACACCGGUGGCGAAGGCGGGACUCUGGGCCGAUACUGACGCUGAGGAGCGAAAGCGUGGGGAGCAAACAGG